UGGGGUUGCGGACAUAUCAUAACGAAGAGGUAUCGUAAUUGAAGAGGUUUGGAAAGACCCACCACAGAAGGUAAUAGUCCUGUAUGUUAAACGAGAAGACUUCAGAUAUGAUCCAGAGUACCACGGGACACGUGAAACCCUGUGGGAAGCAGGAGGGACCACCCUCCAAGGCUAAAUACUACCUAGUGACCGAUAGCGUAUAGUACCGUGAGGGAAAGGUGAAAAGAACCCCGGGAGGGGAGUGAAAUAGAACCUGAAACCCUGCACUUACAAGCUGUGGAAGCACAUUUCUUGUGUGACCGCGUACUUUUUGUAGAACGGGCCAACGAGUUACGUUAAGUAGCAAGGUUAAGCACUUAAGGUGCGGAGCCGUAGCGAAAGCGAGUUUUAACUGAGCGUUCAGUUACUUGACGUAGACCCGAAACCGGGCGACCUACCCAUGAGCAGGAUGAAGCGAAAGUAAAAUUUCGUGGAGGUCCGAACCCACGAGCGUUGAAAAGCUCGGGGAUGACUUGUGGGUAGCGGUGAAAUUCCAAUCGAGCCCGGAGAUAGCUGGUUCUCCCCGAAAUAGCUUUAGGGCUAGCCUCAAGGUGAGAGAUACGGAGGUAGAGCACUGAAUGUCCUAGGGGGUAUUGCACCUACCGAAGACUAUCAAACUCCGAAUGCCGUCAUCUUAUACUUGGGAGUCAGACUGUGGGUGAUAAGAUUCAUAGUCGAAAGGGCAACAGCCCAGAUCGUCAGCUAAGGUCCCUAAAUGUAAGUUAAGUGGUAAAGGAUGUGGGAUUGCACAGACAACCAGGAUGUUGGCUUAGAAGCAGCCACUCAUUCAAAGAGUGCGUAAUAGCUCACUGGUCGAGUGAUCCUGCGCCGAAGAUUUCCGGGGCUAAAACUUACUACCGAAGCUACGGCAUCAGUAAUGAUGGGUAGGGGAGCUUCCCAUACGGGUUGAAGCAUGACCGUAAGGACAUGUGGACAGUAUGGGAGUGAGAAUGUUGGCAUGAGUAGCGAGAUGUGGGUGAGAAUCCCACAGGCCGUAAACCCAAGGUUUCCAGGGGAAGGUUCGUCCGCCCUGGGUUAGUCGGGACCUAAGCUGAGGCCGAAAGGCGUAGGUGAUGGACAACAGGUUGAUAUUCCUGUACUACCGAUAACCGUUUGAGAGAAGGGAUGACACAGUAGGAUAAGCUAAGCACACUGUUGGUUAUGUGUGCCCAAGCAUUGAGGCAGUCAAAGCAGGCAAAUCCGCUUUGAUAAUGCUGGGAUGUGAUGGGGAGCGAAAUUUAGUAGCGAAGUAGCUGAUUUCACACUGUCAAGAAAAGUCUCUAUCGAGGUUAAAGGUACCCGUACCGCAAACCGACACAGGUGGGUGAGGAGAGUAUCCUAAGGCCAGCGAGAGAACUGUUGUUAAGGAACUCGGCAAAAUGACCCCGUAACUUAGGGAUAAGGGGUGCCACCAUCCGGUGGCCGCAGAGAAUAGGCCCAAGCGACUGUUUACCAAAAACAUAGGUUUCUGCUAAGUCGCAAGACGAUGUAUAGGAGCUGACGCCUGCCCGGUGCUGGAAGGUUAAGGGGAUCUGUUAGAGCAAUCGAAGCAGUGAACUUAAGCCCCAGUAAACGGCGGCCGUAACUAUAACGGUCCUAAGGUAGCGAAAUUCCUUGUCGGGUAAGUUCCGACCCGCACGAAAGGCGUAACGAUUUGGGCACUGUCUCAACAACAGACUCGGUGAAAUUGUAAUUCCGGUGAAGAUGCCGGAUACCUGCGACAGGACGGAAAGACCCCAUGGAGCUUUACUGUAGCUUGACAUUGGGUCUUGGUACUACAUGUACAGGAUAGGUGGGAGGCUUUGAAACCAGGACGCCAGUUUUGGCGGAGCCAUCCUUGGGAUACCACCCUUGUAGUACUGGGACUCUAACCAUAGGCCAUGAAUCUGGUCUUGGGACACUGUCAGGUGGGCAGUUUGACUGGGGCGGUCGCCUCCCAAAAGGUAACGGAGGCGCUCAAAGGUUCUCUCAGUACGGUCGGAAAUCGUACGUAGAGUGUAAAGGCAAAAGAGAGCUUGAUUGCAAGACAUACAGGUCGAGCAAGGAUGAAAAUCGGACUUAGUGAUCCGGUGGUUCUGCGUGGAAGGGCCAUCGCUCAACGGAUAAAAGCUACCCUGGGGAUAACAGGCUUAUCUCCCCCAAGAGUCCACAUCGACGGGGAGGUUUGGCACCUCGAUGUCGGCUCAUCACAUCCUGGGGCUGUAGUAGGUCCCAAGGGUUGGGCUGUUCGCCCAUUAAAGUGGUACGCGAGCUGGGUUCAGAACGUCGUGAGACAGUUCGGUCCCUAUCCGUCGCAGGCGUAGGAAAUUUGAGAAGACCUGUCCUUAGUACGAGAGGACCGGGAUGGACGUACCUCUGGUGUACCAGUUGUUCUGCCAAGGGCAUGGCUGGGUAGCUAUGUACGGAAUGGAUAAGCGCUGAAAGCAUCUAAGCGCGAAGCCAACUUCAAGAUAAGAUUUCCCACCGCAAGGGUAAGACCCCAGAAAGACUAUCUGGUUGAUAGGUCGAAGGUGUAAGUGCAGCAAUGUAUUUAGCUUAUCGAUACUAAUAGGUCGAGGACUUGACCAA
rnacentral:rRNA from 1 species